CCUACGGGGGGCAGCAGUGGGGAAUAUUGCACAAUGGGGGAAACCCUGAUGCAGCGACGCCGCGUGAGUGAAGAAGUAUUUCGGUACGUAAAGCUCUAUCAGCAGGGAAGAAAAUGACGGUACCUGACUAAGAAGCCCCGGCUAACUACGUGCCAGCAGCCGCGGUAAUACGUAGGGGGCAAGCGUUAUCCGGAUUUACUGGGUGUAAAGGGAGCGUAGACGGCAGCGCAAGUCUGGAGUGAAAUCCCAUGGCUUAACCAUGGAACUGCUUUGGAAACUGUGCAGCUAGAGUGCAGGAGAGGUAAGCGGAAUUCCUAGUGUAGCGGUGAAAUGCGUAGAUAUUAGGAGGAACACCAGUGGCGAAGGCGGCUUACUGGACUGUAACUGACGUUGAGGCACGAAAGCGUGGGGAGCAAACAGGAUUAGAUACCCUAGUAGUC
rnacentral:rRNA from 1 species